AUUUACGAGUCAUCCUUAAAUACAGGAGAGGUGCCGGAAGAUUGGAGGGUGGCAAAUAUUGUGCCUUUUUUCAAGAGGGGCUGCAAGGAAAACGCUGGGAACUAUUGGCCAGUGAGUAGAAAUUACAGGAGAGUAUUCUGAGGGAUAGGUUAUACA